UCUCCGUAGGUGAACCUGCGGAGGGAUCAUUACUGAGUGAGGGCCUUCGGGCUCGACCUCCAACCCUUUGUGAACACAACUUGUUGCUUCGGGGGCGACCCUGCCUUCGUGCGAGGCGCCCCCGGAGGCUCAUCAAACACUGCAUCUUUGCGUCGGAGUCUUAAUGAAUUUAAACAAAACUUUUAACAACGGAUCUCUUGGUUCUGGCAUCGAUGAAGAACGCAGC
rnacentral:misc_RNA from 1 species